rnacentral:rRNA from 1 species
CCUACGGGUGGCAGCAGUGGGAAAUAUUGCACAAUGGGCGCAAGCCUGAUGCAGCCAUGCCGCGUGUGUGAAGAAGGCCUUCGGGUUGUAAAGCACUUUCAGCGGGGAGGAAGGCGGUGAGGUUAAUAACCUCAUCGAUUGACGUUACCCGCAGAAGAAGCACCGGCUAACUCCGUGCCAGCAGCCGCGGUAAUACGGAGGGUGCAAGCGUUAAUCGGAAUUACUGGGCGUAAAGCGCACGCAGGCGGUCUGUCAAGUCGGAUGUGAAAUCCCCGGGCUCAACCUGGGAACUGCAUUCGAAACUGGCAGGCUAGAGUCUUGUAGAGGGGGGUAGAAUUCCAGGUGUAGCGGUGAAAUGCGUAGAGAUCUGGAGGAAUACCGGUGGCGAAGGCGGCCCCCUGGACAGAGACUGACGCUCAGGUGCGAAAGCGUGGGGAGCAAACAGGAUUAGAUACCCUAGUAGUC